UACGUAGGGGCCUAGCGUUGUCCGGAUUUAUUGGGCGUAAAGAGCUCGUAGGCGGUUCGGUAAGUCAGGUGUGAAACCUCCAGGCUCAACCUGGAGACGCCACUUGAUACUGCUGUGACUGGAGUCCGGUAGGGGAGCGUGGAAUUCCUGGUGUAGCGGUGAAAUGCGCAGAUAUCAGGAGGAACACCAGCGGCGAAGGCGGCGCUCUGGGCCGGUACUGACACUGAGGAGCGAAAGCGUGGGUAGCAAACAGG
rnacentral:rRNA from 1 species